rnacentral:rRNA from 1 species
UUGACCUCGAAUCAGGUAGGGAUACCCGCUGAACUUAAGCAUAUCAAUAAGCGGAGGAAAAGAAACCAACCGGGAUUACCCUAGUAACGGCGAGUGAAGCGGUAACAGCUCAAAUUUGAAAUCUGGCUCCCUGCGGAGUCCGAGUUGUAAUUUGUAGAAGAUGCUUUGGGUGCUUGGCCCGGUCUAAGUUCCUUGGAACAGGACGUCGUAGAGGGUGAGAAUCCCGUAUGCGGCCGGUGUCGGCGCCCGUGUAAAGCUCUUUCGACGAGUCGAGUUGUUUGGGAAUGCAGCUCAAAAUGGGUGGUAAAUUUCAUCUAAAGCUAAAUAUGGGCCAGAGACCGAUAGCGCACAAGUAGAGUGAUCGAAAGAUGAAAAGCACUUUGGAAAGAGAGUUAAACAGUACGUGAAAUUGUUGAAAGGGAAGCGCUUGCAACCAGACUUGGGCGUCGCUGAUCAUCCAAAGACUCUCUUUGGUGCACUCGACGACGCACAGGCCAGCAUCGGUUGGAGUGGUGGGAGGAAGGUUGCCGGAACGUGGCUCUUUUCGGAGAGUGUUAUAGCCGGCGACGCAAUACCGCCUACCCUGACCGAGGACCGCGCUUCGGCUAGGAUGCUGGCGUAAUGGUUGUAAGCGACCCGUCUUGAAACACGGACCAAGGAGUCUAACAUCUAUGCGAGUGUUUGGGUGUGAAAACCCAUGCGCGGAAUGAAAGUGAACGUAGGUGAGAACCCUUCGAGGGCG